ensembl:lncRNA
AUGUUAAAAUUUUUAGCUAAUCUGAUAAUGCUUUUAGCUACCACUAUAUACUCUCAGCACUGUUUUACACAUUUUACCAUCGUUAAAUCCAGUACAACGAAUACAGCAAAUUUUCAAGAUUCAAUUGGAGUAACUUACCAGAGCAGUGAAAUUGCUGGAUACAGUGUCCAUGUCUUGUCGCAGUUCCACACUUGGCUUUUAAUGCUCACUGCCUUGCAUCUGCUUUCUGAAUAUAUACACGCUGCUUACUUUUGCUUUCUUUCUUUGCACUUUCUCUUUUAGCAGCCAGCCCACUUGUUUUCCCUUGGAAAAAAACUAGUAUUUUGCUCUAAUAAAAACACCUCUGAAGACAACACUAAAUUCCUACGCAAACAUAUUGCACAUAUGUCCUAAAGAAAAAGUCACUUGCUUGUAUUUGUAGUUAGUUUUAUUCAUGCAGAUUACACGCAAAUGUCUUAAAGGAGUAGUUUGUCCAAUAUGAUGCAAUUUUAAUUGUAUUCAAUCUACAGGUUUGUCUGAGGAACGGGCCAAAAUUUUAGUUGUAACUGUAACAAAGUCAUUUCCAAAUAAUGCAGCUUUUACAAAUACACUGCCAUUCAAAAGUUUUGCGAUCAAUAAGACUUGUAAUGUUUUUUAAAGAAGUCUCUUAUGCUCAUGAAGGCUGCAUUUAUUUGAUAAAAAACAGUAAUCUUGCAAAAUGUUAUUACAAUAUAAAUUUUUUUUUUCUAUUUUAAUAUCCUUUAAAAUAGAAUUUAUUUCUGUGAUGCAAAGCUGAGUUUCCAUCAGCCAUUACUCCAGUAUAAAGUGUCACAUGGUCCUUCAGAAAUCAUUCUAAUAUGCUGAUUUAUUAUUAGGAUUAUCAAUGUUUGCAACAGUUGUGCUGCCAAAUUUAUUUAUUUAUUUAUUUAUUUUUUUGGAAACUGCAAUACUUUUUUCAGGAUUCUUUGAUGAAUAAAAAGUUCAAAAGAACAACAUUUAUUCAAAAUAUAAAUAUUUCCUAACAAUUUAAAUAUUUGCUAUCACUUCUUAUCAAUUUAACACAUCCUUGCUGAAUAAAAAAAGAUAGAAUAAAAAUGUACUGUCCCCAAACUUUUGAACGGUAGUGUAUAUUGUUAGAAAAGAUUUCUAUUUUAAAUAAA